rnacentral:rRNA from 1 species
AUGGCUGUCGUCAGCUCGUGUCGUGAGAUGUUCGGUUAAGUCCGGCAACGAGCGCAACCCACAUCCCUAGUUGCCAGCAGUUCGGCUGGGCACUCUAUGGAAACUGCCCGUGAUAAGCGGGAGGAAGGUGUGGAUGACGUCAAGUCCUCAUGGCCCUUACGGGUUGGGCUACACACGUGCUACAAUGGUGGUGACAGUGGGUUAAUCCCCAAAAGCCAUCUCAGUUCGGAUUGGGGUCUGCAACUCGACCCCAUGAAGUCGGAAUCGCUAGUAAUCGCGUAACAGCAUGACGCGGUGAAUACGUUCCCGGGCCUUGUACACACCGCCCGUGGGGCGGGGGCGCGGGCCGGGCGCGGGGCGCGGCGGGCG